rnacentral:rRNA from 1 species
GGAUGAGCCCGCGGCCUAUCAGCUAGUUGGUGGGGUAAUGGCCUACCAAGGCGACGACGGGUAGCCGGCCUGAGAGGGCGACCGGCCACACUGGGACUGAGACACGGCCCAGACUCCUACGGGAGGCAGCAGUGGGGAAUAUUGCGCAAUGGGCGAAAGCCUGACGCAGCAACACCGCGUGAGGGAUGACGGCCUUCGGGUUGUAAACCUCUUUCAGCUCCGACGAAGCGAAAGUGACGGUAGGAGCAGAAGAAGCACCGGCUAACUACGUGCCAGCAGCCGCGGUAAUACGUAGGGUGCAAGCGUUGUCCGGAAUUAUUGGGCGUAAAGAGCUCGUAGGCGGUCCGUUGCGUCUGCCGUGAAAACCCGGGGUUAACUCGGGCCUGCGGUGGAUACGGGCGGACUAGAGUCCGGUAGGGGAGACUGGAAUUCCUGGUGUAGCGGUGGAAUGCGCAGAUAUCAGGAGGA